GACGAACGCUGGCGGCGUGCUUAACACAUGCAAGUCGAACGGAAAGGCCCUGCGUUUGUGGGGUGCUCGAGUGGCGAACGGGUGAGGAACACGUGAGUAACCUGCCCUUGACUUUGGGAUAACUUCAGGAAACUGGGGCUAAUAUCGGACAGGAGAUGCUGCUGCAGGGAGGGGGUUGGAAAGUUUCUGCUGGCGUGGAUGGACGCGCGGCUUAUCGGCUUGUUGGUGGGGUAGUGGCUUCCCAAGGCAUUGACGGGUAGCCGGCCUGGGAGGGUGGCUGGCCACCUUGCGCCUGCGAUACGCACCAGUCUCCAACAUGAGGCAGUGGUGGGAAAUCUUGCCCAACGGGCGCACGCCUGAUGCGACAACCUCGCGUUCGUGAUGCCGUCUUUUGGGUUGUAAACCGCUUUCGGCUGUGACGCAGCGUGAGUGACGGUAAUGGGUAAAGAAGCACCGGCUAACUACGUG
rnacentral:rRNA from 1 species